rnacentral:rRNA from 1 species
AUGCUCCUCUGCUCCUUGCCCAGAUCGGCGCCGCCGCCAGCGACGGGAAAGAUGCCGCUGCUAGAUCCUCCACACUCUCUCUCCCCUGAUGUGAUUCCCCAUAUUAUCCCCAUGAAUUUCAGCCUCAACUCUCUAACCCCCCUCUGUGUGUGUGUGUUCUUUUUGGCUUGCAGGUCAAACCCUAUUGGGGAUGUGAUUUCCCUGCUCCAGAUUGAAGUGAUCGGUGUUGGGCGUCGCCGUGAUGUUGGAUGGUGCAGGUUAGAGCUCCAGUGCGUGGCCAUGGAGCAGAUCGAACAUAUGUGCAUGGGAAUGCUAGUGUUGCUGGGAAGAAGAGGGCUUGGUCUGGCUAUUUUGGGUAGAGCUGAGACGAGUGAAACUUGGCAGUUGCUUACUCUGCUCUCCUUGCCAUCUAAUAUCUGA